GACAGCGUGGGGUAGUGGUUUGAGCUUUGGACUACGACUUGAGACCUGGGUUCAAUUCCCAGCUGAGACA